GUAAAGACACGUGUAUGUAUCUGAAGAUACAAGGAGAUCUGCCUCAACAGAGUCAGAGUUUUGUGCCUCUCUGCGUCCAUUUCUCUAGCAAGACACAUUUUCCCAAGGGGAAGAAGAGAAGAUAGCACCCUGAGGUGCUGAGUUGUCAUCUCAUGGGACUGGCAAGGAAACCAGGGCGAGUGACUCAGAGGACAAAGUGAUUUACACACUGAUAUGGAAGACUUUUGAGGAAGAACCAGAGGACGGCAAUUUCAACUAAAGGUCUGAUCCAAUGCCAUUCGGGUCAACAGGAAGAUAACCUUAUAUAAAUUCCCA
rnacentral:lncRNA from 1 species